rnacentral:lncRNA from 1 species
CUGCCUGAAGAGAGAUCAAAACAGAAAAAUGAUAAAAUUUGUAGAGAGAAGAUGAAGGAAUUUAGAAAAAAGAGGAGAAAAUAAAGUUCUAUAGAAUUUAAAAAAGAAAGUUGCGUGCAAAGAAGUGACACGAGAGAACGAUCCACUCUGCUGGAGUGACCUAUCCUCCAUUUUUUGAAUCUCACAUUCCUUGCCUUAACACCUAAAUUCCACUCAACUGGGAAAUUUAAUGACCCUGGCAAAAAUCAUACUUUUUUUUAUUGUUUUUUUUUUCGAUUUUAUUCAAUCUCAAUUUUAAUAUUAUUUAUUCGACUUCAGUUAAAAUAUUAUUGACUUGACUGAAACUGCAAUCUAUCGGCGGGAAAUUUUCUUUUUAUAUUCUAUAGUUAGGGAUACUUAUUUUUAAGUUAAAGUUAUUAUCACUUUUG